CCUACGGGAGGCUGCAGUGAGGAAUAUUGGUCAAUGGACGAGAGUCUGAACCAGCCAAGUAGCGUGAAGGAUGACUGCCCUAUGGGUUGUAAACUUCUUUUAUAUGGGAAUAAAACAGGGUAUGCAUACCCUCUUGUAUGUACCAUAUGAAUAAGGAUCGGCUAACUCCGUGCCAGCAGCCGCGGUAAUACGGAGGAUCCGAGCGUUAUACGGAUUUAUUGGGUUUAAAGGGAGCGUAGGUGGAUUGUUAAGUCAGUUGGGAAAGUUUGCGGCUCAACCGUAAAAUUGCAGUUGAAACGGGCAGUCUUGCGUACAGUAGAGGUGGGCUGAUUUCGUGGUGUCGCGGUGCAAUGCUUAGCUCUCACG
rnacentral:rRNA from 1 species